rnacentral:rRNA from 1 species
GAUGAACGCUGGCGGCGUGCCUAAUACAUGCAAGUCGAGCGAACGGACGAGAAGCUUGCUUCUCUGAUGUUAGCGGCGGACGGGGGAGUAACACGUUGAUAGCCUACCUAUAAGACUGGGAUAACUUCGGGAAUCCGGAGCUAAUACCGGAUAAUAUUUUGAACCGCAUGGUUCAAAAGUGAAAGACGGUCUUGCUGUCUCUUAUAGAUGGAUCCGCGCUGCAUUAGCUAGUUGGUAAGGUAACGGCUUACCAAGGCAACGAUGCAUAGCCGACAUGAGAGGGUGAUCGGCCACACUGGAACUGAGACACGGUCCAGACUCCUACGGGAGGCAGCAGUCGGGAAUCUUCCGCAAUGGGCGAGAGCCUGACGGAGCAACGCCGCGUGAGUGAUGAAGGUCUUCGGAUCGUAAAACUCUGUUAUUAGGGAAGAACAUAUGUGUAAGUAACUGUGCACAUCUUGACGGUACCUAAUCAGAAAGCCACGGCUAACUACGUG